CAGUCGCCACGGUAAAACGAAGGGUGCAAGCGUUACUCGGAAUUACUGGGCGUAAAGCGUGCGUAGGUGGUGGUUUAAGUCCGUUGUGAAAGCCCUGGGCUCAACCUGGGAAUUGCAGUGGAUACUGGGCGACUAGAGUAAGGUAGAGGAUAGUGGAAUUUCCGGUGUAGCAGUGAAAUGCGUAGAGAUCGGAAGGAACAUCUGUGGCGAAGGCGACUAUCUGGGCCAUUACUGACACUGAGGCACGAAAGCGUGGGGAGCAAACAGGAUUAGAUACCCCAGUAGUCCCUGUCUCUUAUAC
rnacentral:rRNA from 1 species